CCUUGACAGUCGCAUACUGCGGCUGACACUAGCCAAGACAAGGAGUUCCCAUG
rnacentral:ncRNA from 1 species